CGGAGCGUAGUUCAGAUGGCUUAGAACGUGCGCUUUGGGAGCGCAAGGUCGUGGGUUCAAGUCCCACCGCUCCGA
rnacentral:tRNA from 1 species